rnacentral:rRNA from 1 species
AUGGGCGAAAGCCUGAUCCAGCCAUGCCGCGUGGGUGAAGAAGGCCUUAUGGUUGUAAACCCCUUUCAGCGGGGAAGAAAAUGACGGUACCCGCAGAAGAAGUCCCGGCUAACUUCAUUCCANCCCCCNCGGUAAUAUUCNANCNNCCGCGGUAAUAC